rnacentral:rRNA from 1 species
AUUGAACGCUGGCGGCAGGCCUAACACAUGCAAGUCGAGCGGAGCGGCGGACGGGGGAGUAAUGCCUAGGAAUCUGCCUGGUAGUGGGGGAUAAGGUCCGGAAACGGGCGCUAAUACCGCAUACUAUCAGAUGAGCCUAGGUCCGAUUAGCUAGUUGGUGGUGUAAAGGCCUACCAAUGCGACGCUCCGUAUCUGGUCUGAGGAUGAUCAGUCACACUGGAACUGCGACACGGUCCAGACUCCUACGGGAGGCAGCAGUGGGGAAUAUUGGACAAGGGUCGAAAGCCUGAUCCAGCCAUGCCGCGUGUGUGAAGAAGGUCUUCGGAUUGUAAAGCACUUUCAGUUGGGAGGCGUUACCCACAGAAUAAGCACCGGCUAACUUCGUGCCAGCAGCCGCGGUAAUUC